ensembl:lncRNA
GCUGCACAUAGGUGGAACAGGUAGUCUGCCUAGAACGUUCUGCUGCCCAGAGGUGGAACAGGAAGUCUGCCUAGAACGUUCUGCUUCCCAGAGGUGGAACAGCGAGUCUGCCAAGAACAUUCUGCUUCCUAGAGGUGAAACAGGUAGUCUGCCUACUUGCAUGAUCAUUGGAAAGUGAAAUAGCAGUUGGUCGGGUCUGUUUGUAGUUGAACACAGAUUGUGUCUCAGCCCCGUUGUGGGGACUUACAUGCAGCAUAUCGAGCGACUGCAGACGGAGAAGUUUUUUUUUUUUAUAGCCUUCGAUAUAUAUACUUUUUUGGGGAGACGCUCGUUCACAUCACAGCAGGGUUUAUUUAUUUCAACUGUUCAGAAAUAGGAGAAAGACGGGCUACGUCGUUAUGGUACAGAAGAGGGUAAAGAGAGAAACGUUAAGGGGAGUGUGAGCAGACGCCACGUGUAUAAAAUAACACGCUGAACGUAAUGCGGAUCCGAGGCUUUGAGACAGAGGUUUCCGAUGAGGCGCGGCAGGGGGGCAAACUCUCCUUAUCGGCAGCCAGGGCCUGUUGUGAUGAAUCUCUGUUGUGAUGAAUCUCCGUAUCUCCAGCCAGGGCCUGUUGUGAUGAAUCUCUGUUGUGAUGAAUCUCUGUAUCUCCAGCCAGGGCCUGUUGUGAUGAAUCUCUGUUGUGAUGAAUCUCUGUAUCUCCAGCCAGGGCCUGUUGUGAUGAAUCUCUGUUGUGAUGAAUCUCCGUAUCUCCAGCCAGGGCCUGUUGUGAUGAAUCUCUGUAUCUCCAGCCAGGGCCUGUUGUGAUGAAUCUCUGUUGUGAUGAGUCUCUGUAUCUCCAGCCAGGGCCUGUUGUGAUGAAUCUCUGUUGUGAUGAGUCUCUGUAUCUCCAGCCAGGGCCUGUUGUGAUGAAUCUCUGUUGUGAUGAAUCUCUGUUGUGAUGAAUCUCUGUAUCUCCAGCCAGGGCCUGUUGUGAUGAGUCUCUGUAUCUCCAGCCAGGGCCUGUUGUGAUGAAUCUCUGUUGUGAUGAGUCUCUGUAUCUCCAGCCAGGGCCUGUUGUGAUGAGUCUCUGUAUCUCCAGCCAGGGCCUGUUGUGAUGAGUCUCUGUAUCUCCAGC